ACAGUGUUCCUGGAGUCUCGCUGCCCAGAUGCCACGGAAUCAGUUGAAGGACGUGGCAGCUGGUUGGACGAGGGGAGCUGGUGGGCAGGGUUUGAUCCCAGGGCCUGGGCAACGGAGGUGUAGCUGGCAGCAGCGGGCAGGUGAGGACCCCAUCUGCCGGGCAGGUGAGUCCCUUCCCUCCCCAGGCCUCGCUUCCCCAGCCUUCUGAAAGAAGGAGGUUUAGGGGAUCGAGGGCUGGCGGGGAGAAGCAGACACCCUCCCAGCAGAGGGGCAGGAUGGGGGCAGGAGAGUUAGCAAAGGUGACAUCUUCUCGGGGGGAGCCGAGACUGCGCAAGGCUGGGGGGUUAUGGGCCCGUUCCAGGCAGAAAGAGCAAGAGGGCAGGGAGGGAGCACAGGGGUGGCCAGCGUAGGGUCCAGCACGUGGGGUGGUACCCCAGGCCUGGGUCAGACAGGGACAUGGCAGGGGACACAGGACAGAGGGGUCCCCAGCUGCCACCUCACCCACCGCAAUUCAUUUAGUAGCAGGCACAGGGGCAGCUCCGGCACGGCUUUCUCAGGCCUAUGCCGGAGCCUCGAGGGCUGGAGAGCGGGAAGACAGGCAGUGCUCGGGGAGUUGCAGCAGGACGUCACCAGGAGGGCGAAGCGGCCACGGGAGGGGGGCCCCGGGACAUUGCGCAGCAAGGAGGCUGCAGGGGCUCGGCCUGCGGGCGCCGGUCCCACGAGGCACUGCGGCCCAGGGUCUGGUGCGGAGAGGGCCCACAGUGGACUUGGUGACGCUGUAUGCCCUCACCGCUCAGCCCCUGGGGCUGGCUUGGCAGACAGUACAGCAUCCAGGGGAGUCAAGGGCAUGGGGCGAGACCAGACUAGGCGAGGCGGGCGGGGCGGAGUGAAUGAGCUCUCAGGAGGGAGGAUGGUGCAGGCAGGGGUGAGGAGCGCAGCGGGCGGCGAGCGGGAGGCACUGGCCUCCAGAGCCCGUGGCCAAGGCGGGCCUCGCGGGCGGCGACGGAGCCGGGAUCGGUGCCUCAGCGUUCGGGCUGGAGACGAGGGUGAGUUUUUCCCCCUCUGCCACCCUCAGCCCCCACCCGCCCCUCCCCACACAACCAACACGUUCUCCCCACACGACUCUCUCGUUCUCCCCACAGCCAGGUCUCCAGCUGGGGUGGACGUGCCCACCAGCUGCCGAAGGCCAAGACGCCAGGUCCGGUGGACGUGACAAGCAGGACAUGACAUGGUCCGGUGUGACGGCGAGGACAGAGGAGGCGCGUCCGGCCUUCCUGAACACCUUAGGCUGGUGGGGCUGCGGCAAGAAGCGGGUCUGUUUCUUUACUUCCUCCACGGAGUCGGCACACUAUGGCUGCCCUCUGGGCUCCCAGAACCCACAACAUGAAAGGUGAGGGGCUUCCUGCCACACUUGGGGUGGGGGGCACGCGAGAGGAGCUGAGUGGGACCUCACUCCUUCCCCAUCCACAGAAAUGGUGCUACCCAGCUCAAGCCUGGGCCUUUGAAUCCGGACACAAAACCCUCUAGCUUGGAAAUGAAUAUGCUGCACUUUACAACCACUGCACUACCUGACUCAGGAAUCGGCUCUGGAAGGUGAAGCUAGAGGAACCAGACCUCAUCAGCCCAACAUCAAAGACACCAUCGGAACAGCAGCGCCCGCAGCACCCACCCCGCACCGGCGACUCCAUCUUCAUGGCCACCCCCUGCGGCGGACGGUUGACCACCAGCCACCACAUCAUCCCAGAGCUGAGCUCCUCCAGCGGGAUGACGCCGUCCCCACCACCUCCCUCUUCUUCUUUUUCAUCCUUCUGUCUCUUUGUUUCUGAGCUUUCCUGUCUUUCCUUUUUUCUGAGAGAUUCAAAGCCUCCACGACUCUGUUUCCCCCGUCCCUUCUGAAUUUAAUUUGCACUAAGUCAUUUGCACUGGUUGGAGUUGUGGAGACGGCCUUGAGUCUCAGUACGAGUGUGCGUGAGUGUGAGCCACCUUGGCAAGUGCCUGUGCAGGGCCCGGCCGCCCUCCAUCUGGGCCGGGUGACUGGGCGCCGGCUGUGUGCCCGAGGCCUCACCCUGCCCUCGCCUAGUCUGGAAGCUCCGACCGACAUCACGGAGCAGCCUUCAAGCAUUCCAUUACGCCCCAUCUCGCUCUGUGCCCCUCCCCACCAGGGCUUCAGCAGGAGCCCUGGACUCAUCAUCAAUAAACACUGUUACAGCAA
ensembl:lncRNA H19 H19 imprinted maternally expressed transcript